AUGAAGAACGUAGCGAAAUGCGAUAAGUAAUGUGAAUUGCAGAAUUCAGUGAAUCAUCGAAUCUUUGAACGCACAUUGCGCCCCUUGGUAUUCCGGGGGGCAUGCCUGUUCGAGCGUCAUUUCAACCCCUCAAGCUCGGCUUGGUGUUGGGCUGCGCCAGCGUUGCUGGCGGGCCUUAAAAUCAGUGGCGGUGCCGUUUGGGCUCCAAGCGUAGUAGCAUCUCUCGCUCUGGAGACCCGGCGGUUGCUUGCCAGACAAUCACCAAAAAAACAAAGGUUUGACCUCGGAUCAGGUAGGGAUACCCGCUGAACUUAAGCAUAUCAAUAAGCGGAGGA
rnacentral:misc_RNA from 1 species